rnacentral:rRNA from 1 species
UACGUAGGGAGCAAGCGUUGUUCGGAUUUACUGGGCGUAAAGGGCGCGUAGGCGGCAGAUCAAGUCAGCUGUGAAAUCUCCGAGCUUAACUCGGAACUGUCAGCUGAUACUGUUUUGCUAGAGUGCGGAAGGGGCAAUCGGAAUUCUUGGUGUAGCGGUGAAAUGCGUAGAUAUCUGGAGGAACACCGGUGGCGAAGGCGGCAUCCUGGACCGGCAUUGACGCUGAGGCGCGAAAGCCAGGGGAGCAAACGGG